UUUGGUCAGCGGCGGACGGGUGAGUAACACGUGGGUAACCUGCCCAAGAGAUCGGGAUAACACCUGGAAACAGAUGCUAAUACCGGAUAACAACAGAUGAUGCCUAUCAACUGUUUAAAAGAUGGUUCUGCUAUCACUCUUGGAUGGACCUGCGGUGCAUUAGCUAGUUGGUAGGGUAA
rnacentral:rRNA from 1 species